UUAAUCUAUUUUCCUCUUGUACUAUGGGUGUGGCAGACGAACUGUGUGAAGAGCUCUUCCGUUGGAUUGAUCAGCAGAAGCGAUGUGCAGAUCAUCUCAAGGCUUUGGCCACCGAGCUGGAGGACAUGAGGGAGGUGAUGACUGCAGGCCAGUUGGUGGGAAACACAGCAACUGUGCUUGGGUCUGCCGCUCUUGUUGGGACAGGCAUUGCAACAAUUCUGACUGGAGGCCUGGCUGCACCCUCGCUGGCACUGGCAGCUGGAAUCACAGCCGGAGUGGGUACUGCAACUAGUCUUACACUUACGCUUGUGGAGAAAUGGAAAUCCAGUAAAACAAUGGAAAAUGCAGAGAAGACUGCUGACAAAAUCAAACAGAUUCAGAACAAUAUCGAAAGGCUCCAGAAGAAACUCCAGAAGGAGUGUGAGAGUGAAGGGUUUGAAGUGUCAUCCUCCGAUGACGUGCAGUGUGAAAUCACAGCGAGGAUCCUUAGAGCCUUGGCCAAACGCAGUGGUAGAGAUCUGCCCCUCAGUCGCCUAAGACACCUCUUGAGAAGUGAUGGCAUGUAUACACAUAACAGAUAUCCAAAGUUUAUUCUAGACGGUGCAUUCUUCUACACCGUCAGUUCUUUCAUAGCAUACCUUGGAUAUUCUGCCAUCUUUCUGAAAACAGCAGCAACAAAAGGACAAAAAUAUUAUGCUCCAUUUCUUGUGAAAGCUACUAAAGAAAUGGCUGAUCUUUCACUGAAAACUGUGUUAAAGGGAACAGGCCAGGCCGCAGGAGGAAUCUUUGGGCUGAUAUUAACAGUUCCUGAUCUGAUUGAUAACUGUGAAGAACUGAUUAAAAACAAACAUCAGACUGAAGCUAGCACAUAUCUGAAGACAAAAGCUGAUGAAAUCCGUGAAACUGUGAAGAAAUUUAAAAAGCCAUUGAAUGAAUUGCAAGACAUGCUCAAUCAAAUCCCUGAAAUGGAGUGUCACAUUGAUUUGGCUCAGGAGAUGUUUGGAUCUCAAAUAUACACUCGAGGCACCAUCUGUAUGGAAUAUAAACAGAGCCAAAAGCAGGACAGGAAGACACAGGGGUUUAUUCUCCUAUGCACAAAAGACAUAGGAGUAACUAAGAAUUGUUCCACAGGCAAAGACAAAUCAGGUGACAACAAGAACAAAAGACAGAAGAAGAAGACUACUUCAACUGUAGACAGGAGCCUUAACCAGGAGAGGAAACCUGCUUUUCAGAGUAAACCACCACACAAGUCUAAAACAAAAGUAAAGGAAUUUCAGUUCCGCCUUCCUAAAAUAAUGAUGUCUAAUGUACGUUCUCUUCCGAACAAAAUAGAGGAGCUCCAAGAAAUGAUGGAAGAUGUGGAAAACGUUAAUUCCGAUCUGAUGUUCUUCACAGAGACAUGGUUGAACAGGAACUCGCCCAGCAUUAACUUCGAUAGAUAUAAGUCUUUCCGGGUUGAUCGUGAUGCAUGGCUUACUAAGAAAAGUAAAGGAGGGGGAUUGAUGGUGCUUGUGAACAAGGCUUGGGCGACUGAUGUGGAGGUGGAAAACAUCUUGAUUACUCCAGAUUAUGAGUUAAUGGUUGUGUCCAUUAUACCACAUGACCACCCUGAGGAUGCGCCACCACUUACCUUCAUCCAUGUGUAUAUCCCUCCAAGAACUAAUAUGACUCGAGCUGCCAUUGACAUCGCUGCUGUUUACUAUGAUGUUCUGGAGCAGUAUCCUGGUGGUCCUGUUUUCUUGUUGGGUGAUUUCAACCACUGUGACAUCACUCAUCUCUUAGACCUGGAGCAAUAUGUCACAUGCCCAACCAGAAACAGUAACACCCUGGAUCAAUGCUAUGGGAAUGUGCCAGAGGCUUAUAGAUCUGAAUGCAGACCCCCGCUUGGCCGGUCAGACCACAAUGUCAUUCAUUUGAUUCCUAAAAAGAAGUCAGAUGGAAGUGACCCUUCUAAAGAUGAGAAGUGUAGACAUGACAGUACCAAAUCCAGAAAGCAAUGAGAGGCUGCGCAACAGUUCUCUUUUGUUUUCAUGUAGCACACCAGGGUCCUAGAGGAACAUCGGUUAGUUUCACUGUGUGCUGUGCUAGUAUAUGAUAGCUUGUUUCGUCCGAUAGAUGUAGGUGGUGUCUAACUACUUUCAAUUAACUUACUGAGUAUAAAACCUCAUUGAGAAAGAAGAAGACAGGAUAAUAGUGGGGAAUGGCAUGAAAACUGGCACAACAAUGAGGAACAACAAGAGGGAAAAAAAUUCUCCUUUGAAUGAAGAAAAUUAAAUGCUUGAUAUGCUUAAAAGUCCCCUUAAGUGCUUGGAAACACACAGAGUUAUUCUGUGUGGUGACGUAAUUUCGACUGAAACAGGAAGAGAUGGUGGGACAUAUCGAGCAGCCCGCCCGGGAGGCCAGGAUGUUAGUUGAAGGAAAUGCCUUGUAUACUAAAUCCCCAGGAAGAAUGGUUGAGUGGGUUCACUGUAAACCAUUCACCUUCUUGAACUCUCUCAGUCUACUUUUAUUUGAUAUUGAUAAACACACACCAGUUAGUAUCUAACUUUGAGUGCAAUCCUAAUCAUAAACCAUCAUAGCCUGUAACGUAAAACAUUGAGCAUAUAUAUAUAUAUAUAUAUUUAACAGAGUGUGUGUGUUGGGGUGGGGGGGGGGUGUUUAGGUAACAGUUAACAUUUAUAGUCACUAAACAGUCUCUAAGUAAUCAUUCAUGCUACAGUAUGUAGACUGAUCAUGUUAGGCCACAAGGCAUUCAAAGAGGGUGAGUAUAUACAAUAUACUAUAUAGGACAAGUAUAUACAAUAAAUGUACUCUAAACAUAAGCA
ensembl:lncRNA